rnacentral:rRNA from 1 species
AUACGUAGGGGGCGAGCGUUGUCCGGAAUGAUUGGGCGUAAAAGGCGCGUAGGCGGCCCGGUAAGUCUGGAGUGAAAGUCCUGUUUUUAAGAUGGGAAUUGCUUUGGAUACUGUCGGGCUUGAGUGAGGUAGAGGUAAGCGGAAUUCCCAGUGUAGCGGUGAAAUGCGUAGAGAUUGGGAGGAACACCAGUGGCGAAGGCGACUUACAGGAAUGUAACGGACGCUGAGGCGCGAAAGUGUGGGGAGCAAACAGGAUUAGAUACCCUGGUAGUCCACACUGUAAACGAUGAAUGCUAGGUGUAGGGGGUAUCGACCCCUUCUGUGCCGCGGUCAACACAAUAAGCAUUCCGCCUGGGGAGUACGGCCGCAAGGUUGAAACUCAAAUGAAUGGACGGGG